GCUUACCAUGCAGUCGAACGGUAAGGCCCCUUCGGGGGUACACGAGUGGCGAACGGGUGAGUAACACGUGAGCAACCUGCCCUUGACUUCGGAAUACCAGCUGGAAACAGCUGCUAAUACCGGAUAUGACCUCGACCUUCCUGGGUCGGGGUGGAAAGCUCCGGCGGUCAGGGAUGGGCUCGCGGCCUAUCAGCUUGUUGGUGGGGUGAUGGCCUACCAAGGCUUCGACGGGUAGCCGGCCUGAGAGGGCGACCGGCCACACUGGGACUGAGAUACGGCCCAGACUCCUACGGGAGGCAGCAGUGGGGAAUAUUGCACAAUGGGCGCAAGCCUGAUGCAGCAACGCCGCGUGCGGGAUGACGGCCUUCGGGUUGUAAACCGCUUUCAGUAGGGACGAAGCUAACGUGACGGUACCUACAGAAGAAGGACCGGCUAACUACGUGCCAGCAGCCGCGGUGAUACGUAGGGUCCGAGCGUUGUCCGGAAUUAUUGGGCGUAAAGGGCUUGUAGGCGGUCCGUCGCGUCAGGAGUGAAAACUCGGGGCUUAACCCCGAGCCUGCUUUUGAUACGGGCGGACUAGAGGGAUGCAGGGGAGAACGGAAUUCCUGGUGGAGCGGUGGAAUGCGCAGAUAUCAGGAGGAACACCGGUGGCGAAGGCGGUUCUCUGGGCAUUACCUGACGCUGAGAAGCGAAAGCGUGGGGAGCAAACAGGCUUAGAUACCCUGGUAGUCCACGCCGUAAACGGUGGGCACUAGGGUGUGGGGGACAUUCCACGUUCUCCGUGCCGAAGCUAACGCAUAAGUGCCC
rnacentral:rRNA from 1 species